rnacentral:rRNA from 1 species
UUAAGCGACUAAGCGUACACGGUGGAUGCCCUGGCAGUCAGAGGCGAUGAAGGACGUGCUAAUCUGCGAUAAGCGUCGGUAAGGUGAUAUGAACCGUUAUAACCGGCGAUUUCCGAAUGGGGAAACCCAGUGUGAUUCGUCACACUAUCGUUAAGUGAAUACAUAGCUUAACGAAGCGAACCGGGGGAACUGAAACAUCUAAGUACCCCGAGGAAAAGAAAUCAACCGAGAUUCCCCCAGUAGCGGCGAGCGAACGGGGAGCAGCCCAGAGUCUGAAUCAGCGCGUGUGUUAGUGGAACGGUCUGGAAAGUCCGGCGGUACAGGGUGAUAGCCCCGUACACUAAAAUGCACACGUUGUGAACUCGAAGAGUAGGGCGGGACACGUGGUAUCCUGUCUGAAUAUGGGGGGACCAUCCUCCAAGGCUAAAUACUCCUGACUGACCGAUAGUGAACCAGUACCGUGAGGGAAAGGCGAAAAGAACCCCGGCGAGGGGAGUGAAAAAGAACCUGAAACCGUGUACGUACAAGCAGUGGGAGCCUACUUGUUAGGUGACUGCGUACCUUUUGUAUAAUGGGUCAGCGACUUAUAUUCUGUAGCAAGGUUAACCGUAUAGGGGAGCCGCAGGGAAACCGAGUCUUAACUGGGCGUUAAGUUGCAGGGUAUAGACCCGAAACCCGGUGAUCUAGCCAUGGGCAGGUUGAAGGUUGGGUAACACUAACUGGAGGACCGAACCGACUAAUGUUGAAAAAUUAGCGGAUGACUUGUGGCUGGGGGUGAAAGGCCAAUCAAACCGGGAGAUAGCUGGUUCUCCCCGAAAGCUAUUUAGGUAGCGCCUCGUGAACUCAUCUUCGGGGGUAGAGCACUGUUUCGGCUAGGGGGUCAUCCCGACUUACCAACCCGAUGCAAACUACGAAUACCGAAGAAUGUUAUCACGGGAGACACACGGCGGGUGCUAACGUCCGUCGUGAAGAGGGAAACAACCCAGACCGCCAGCUAAGGUCCCAAAGUCAUGGUUAAGUGGGAAACGAUGUGGGAAGGCACAGACAGCCAGGAUGUUGGCUUAGAAGCAGCCAUCAUUUAAAGAAAGCGUAAUAGCUCACUGGUCGAGUCGGCCUGCGCGGAAGAUGUAACGGGGCUAAACCAUGCACCGAAGCUGCGGCAGCGACACUAUGUGUUGUUGGGUAGGGGAGCGUUCUGUAAGCCGUUGAAGGUGGCCUGUGAGGGUUGCUGGAGGUAUCAGAAGUGCGAAUGCUGACAUAAGUAACGAUAAAGCGGGUGAAAAGCCCGCUCGCCGGAAGACCAAGGGUUCCUGUCCAACGUUAAUCGGGGCAGGGUGAGUCGACCCCUAAGGCGAGGCCGAAAGGCGUAGUCGAUGGGAAACAGGUUAAUAUUCCUGUACUCGGUGUUACUGCGAAGGGGGGACGGAGAAGGCUAUGUUAGCCGGGCGACGGUUGUCCCGGUUUAAGCAUGUAGGCGGAACGAUUAGGUAAAUCCGGUCGUUUAUUCAACGCUGAGGUGUGACGACGAGGCACUACGGUGCUGAAGUAACAAAUGCCCUGCUUCCAGGAAAAGCCUCUAAGCAUCAGGUAACAACGAAUCGUACCCCAAACCGACACAGGUGGUCAGGUAGAGAAUACCAAGGCGCUUGAGAGAACUCGGGUGAAGGAACUAGGCAAAAUGGUGCCGUAACUUCGGGAGAAGGCACGCUGAUGGUAGGUGAAGUGACUUGCUCAUGGAGCUGAAAUCAGUCGAAGAUACCAGCUGGCUGCAACUGUUUAUUAAAAACACAGCACUGUGCAAACACGAAAGUGGACGUAUACGGUGUGACGCCUGCCCGGUGCCGGAAGGUUAAUUGAUGGGGUUAUCCGUAAGGAGAAGCUCUUGAUCGAAGCCCCGGUAAACGGCGGCCGUAACUAUAACGGUCCUAAGGUAGCGAAAUUCCUUGUCGGGUAAGUUCCGACCUGCACGAAUGGCGUAAUGAUGGCCAGGCUGUCUCCACCCGAGACUCAGUGAAAUUGAACUCGCUGUGAAGAUGCAGUGUACCCGCGGCAAGACGGAAAGACCCCGUGAACCUUUACUAUAGCUUGACACUGAACAUUGAGCCUUGAUGUGUAGGAUAGGUGGGAGGCUUUGAAGCGUGGACGCCAGUCUGCGUGGAGCCAACCUUGAAAUACCACCCUUUAAUGUUUGAUGUUCUAACGUAGACCCGUGAUCCGGGUUGCGGACAGUGUCUGGUGGGUAGUUUGACUUUAGCGGUCUCCUGCCCAAAGAGUAAUCGGAGGAGCACG